UGCUGUUUCAGUGUCGCAAAUGUGACCGUAAGAAACAUCGAAGCAUGUUAUGAACAGUUAGAAAACAGGACCUGCAAGCUCCACGCCUUCCAGUUUAAAAGGACAAAUGGGAAAAUAGCGUGCAUCGAUCCGAAAUUCAUCGGGCUCGAGAAAAUGAUAAAGAAGGCAAAACUGCACUGUAAAGUUUUCUAGUGAAACACAGUCCUGGAAGUUGAGUCUGCACGACCAGAAACUUCCCAGCAGAGCAGCUACUCCGAGCAUUUUCAGCUGGUUUAUUUAUUCCCUUUUCAAAGAUAUCUAUUUAAAAUUCAAGUUAUUUUUGUAUUGACUUUUUUAACUAUAAAACAAGAAUUGUGUGACAUUAUAUCGAACAGCAGAGCUGUUUCUUUAGAACCAAAAAUAAAUCAUGUCUAAAUAAC